CAGUCUGCCGUCAGAGGAGACAGACGCACCUUCUCUCCACAACAUUUGCUCUCCCGUGAUUCCUUCAGACGUUGUCAACUCCUCAGCGUUAACACGCCAACUCUGAGUCGACGGUAACCUGAGCGGUCUUCAGGACCUUUGAAUCACACGCAAAACAACAGAUCUGACCUGACUUUCCUGCUGGCGAAGAUUUUGUUGGCGAAACAAGCCUUCUUUCGGCCGAAAACAGAUAAAAUUAUCAAAACACAAGUUUCCACAAAUAUAUAACUUCGGACUAUCAAUACCUCUGAACUAUUAUAGUUUGACACGCCAAGGACGUGCAAUCGUGAUUUGGUGAUAAGACUCCAAGAAAAAAACGAAGAGAAACCACAAGCCGAGAAGACAUUAAUUAGUGCUGCCAAAUUUUAUGGUGUGUGAGGCAGCUGGACAGUGUAGCGCUGAGCCCGCCGUGCGACGUCCAAGUACUGCGUUAGGACGUAACCUCAUGAUUAUUUGAAGGGAUCGAGAGACGCGACGUCGGUGCGAGAGAAAAGGAGCCCAAGGGACGAGUGACGGAAGUAAGCAAACAAAGAAACACACA